rnacentral:misc_RNA from 1 species
GGAAAAUCUUAUAAUAUAAACUACACAUGUUUAAUUGCUAAUACCAUCAUGUGUUUACUUAUUGGCAUCGAGCACCAAAUUUUCACAUCAAUGAUACUGUGAAAAAAACGCCACAGAUAGCUCGUUUUCUACUAACUGACUGAGCAAUCUUAUCACCUCACAUGACAUGUUUUGCAACAGAAAUUGUAUAUAAAUCUAGCAAGCUAACAACAUUUAGCCCAAAAGAAAUCAGAAGAGUGAUGGAAGAAAAUAAAAUAUAUAUGAAGGUAACUACUAUUCCUUUAAAAAGCAUCUCUAUACUAGCAUGUGGGCAGAGUCGUAACUUAAAACGCGGAACUCUGACGCAAACUUGCAGUUGCUUCCGUUAGAGAGCUCAAAAGGGUCUCACCCACCUCAGCUUUGCAAAGGGGACAUGAGUUGUUGAUUUUCAGCCACUUAUCAACACAGUCCUUGUGGAAGAAAUGAGAACAGGGUAACUCCCUUAGCUCAUCAUUGUUCACAUACUUUGCUAAGCAAAUGCAACAUGCCGCAUCUUCUCCUGAAAUCACACGCUCCUUGUCCGUUCCUGCAGCCACAACCCCACCUUCAGCAGCCUCUUUGUUGCCACUUUUGUUUUUCUUUACCUUAAAUUUAUAGGUCGGAAGAGCAUUAAUUGAUUCUGGUGUGGCGCCUUUGUUUUGAGUCAGAUCUUCUCGGAAGCCCAUGACUGAAAUAAUGCAGGGGAGGCAGCAGCAUAUUGUUGCACAUAGAAUAAAUGGCAUGGCAUACCCGAUACAGCUAAAGGUCAGAAAUACUAUACACAACCUACGGAUGAAUAGAAACAUGAGCAAAUAUGAUGCUGGUAGAGAUGAUAGAAAGUAAGGAAACACCCCAAAAUGAAAACAACAGUGAAAGAUCACCUGUACAAGUUGGGAGCCUCAGAGGAAGAGGAGUGUCCGCCAAAUAUCCACACAUUUCCAACCACAAACCACACUGCAAAAAAACAAUCUAAUGCCAUUUUGAAGUACUCAACAAAUGAUUUUAUCCUUGUGCUCAGUAUUUCAUUACUUUGACCACCUGUAGAAGCUGUAGCAGUUGUCUGACGACCUUCACCUUCUGAACUCCUUGUACUUGAGGAUGGUCUGGCUGAGAGUUCAACCUGGGAAGAAAUCUGUGGCUGCUGAGAUGAAUCCUGAUCUGAAUUUUGGUUUCUAUGACGAAAACGCCAGUAGAGAAGAGGGAGAAUUGCUACACACCCAGAUGCAUAACCAACUAUCCAUUGGGCUAGAGGAGCUCGUGGGUGCUCAUCCCUUGAUAUGGCCAACACCGCGAUUGCUGCAAUUAUUUGGCUCAAUGUCAAGACUAGUUCAAUGGAUAUCCAGAGCACAGAAUUCAGAGGACUCCGAUGGCGGCGCCCACUUCCUCUUCGAGCAAAUGAUGAGUUCCUCAAGUUGGAUCUACUAGCAGAAGAAAAUGCAUGUUGGGAGACGGGCACUGUUGUGCUUGUUGAUGGGGGAUGUUCAGCUUGGACAUGAAGCACAUUAUUAACUGGUCUAUCAUGGGGGUUGCUUGAUGAGGAUGCAUCAUUGCUACUAGUUAUGUCAAUUACAUGCUCAUCGUUGCUACGGUUAUCUGCUUGCUCCAUUAAUAAUUGAAACUGGUUAGUUUGGCUUUUCCGGUGUAGCCCCAAUGAGGAAAUGGCCAUCUAAGUCCACUGACUGAGAGAUAAUUAUAGGAAACAUGGGAUGCAAAAGUCUUAAGCAGUGAAGUAUGAGUUCACCAGAUGAAAAAUUCUUCUCCUCUUCACAAUCACCCAGUAAAUUCAGAGACUGCAGCAGCUAUAUAUGAGAAGUCUAAGCAGGUUUUCUACUGCAGCUGAAGAAUCAGAUGAAUCGAAAGCAAAGAAAAGUCUUUUGGAUUGAAUAACACUUAGUUGAGCUGUGGAUUUCUGAGUUUACGCGUUUUCUCUGUAGAUUUUUUCU